GUGCUCGCUUCGGCAGGACAUAUACUAAAAUUGUAACAAUACAGAGAAGAUUAGCAUGGGCCCUGCGCAAGGAUUUUAAAUUCAAAUUCGUGAAGCUUUCCAUAUUUAA